rnacentral:pre_miRNA from 1 species
CAACUACUCCCUUUGUCCCAAAUUUCUUGUCUUAGAUUUGUCUAUAUACGGAUGUAUCUAAUACUAAAAUGUGACUUGAUACAUCUGUAUCUAGACAAAUCUAAGACAAGAAUUUUGGGACAGAGGGAGUACUUU